UACUCCUACGGGAGGCAGCAGUGGGGAAUAUUGGACAAUGGACCAAGAGUCUGAUCCAGCAAUUCUGUGUGCACGAUGAAGUUUUUCGGAAUGUAAAGUGCUUUCAGUUGGGAAGAAAAAAAUGACGGUACCAACAGAAGAAGUGACGGCUAAAUACGUGCCAGCAGCCGCGGUAAUACGUAUGUCACAAGCGUUAUCCGGAUUUAUUGGGCGUAAAGCGCGUCUAGGUGGUUAUGUAAGUCUGAUGUGAAAAUGCAGGGCUCAACUCUGUAUUGCGUUGGAAACUGUGUAACUAGAGUACUGGAGAGGUAAGCGGAACUACAAGUGUAGAGGUGAAAUUCGUAGAUAUUUGUAGGAAUGCCGAUGGGGAAGCCAGCUUACUGGACAGAUACUGACGCUGAAGCGCGAAAGCGUGGGUAGCAAACAGGAUUAGAUACCCUGGUAGUCCACGCCGUAAACGAUGAUUACUAGGUGUUGGGGGUCGAACCUCAGCGCCCAAGCAAACGCGAUAAGUAAUCCGCCUGGGGAGUACGUACGCAAGUAUGAAACUCAAAGGAAUUGACGGA
rnacentral:rRNA from 1 species